UACGUAGGUGACAAGCGUUGUCCGGAUUUACUGGGCGUAAAGAGCGCGCAGGCGGUCGGUCAAGUCGAGUGUGAAAGCCCCCGGCUCAACUGGGGAGGGUCAUUCGAUACUGAUCGACUCGAAGGCAGGAGAGGGUAGUGGAAUUCCCGGUGUAGUGGUGAAAUGCGUAGAUAUCGGGAGGAACACCAGUGGCGAAGGCGGUUCUCUGGGAAUAUCCUGACGCUGAGGAGCGAAAGUGUGGGGAGCAAACAGG
rnacentral:rRNA from 1 species